rnacentral:rRNA from 1 species
AGAGUUUGAUCCUGGCUCAGGACGAACGCUGGCGGCGUGCCUAACACAUGCAAGUCGAACGGGGUCAAGAGAGCUUGCUUUUUUGACUUAGUGGCGAACGGGUGAGUAACGCGUGAGGAACCUGCCUUUCAGUGGGGACAACAGUUGGAAACGACUGCUAAUACCGCAUAACAUGUACGGAUCGCAUGGUCUGUACAUCAAAGCUUUAUGUGCUGAAAGAUGGCCUCGCGUCUGAUUAGCUAGUUGGUGGGGUAACGGCCCACCAAGGCGACGAUCAGUAGCCGGUCUGAGAGGAUGAACGGCCACAUUGGGACUGAGAUACGGCCCAGACUCCUACGGGAGGCAGCAGUGGGGAAUAUUGGGCAAUGGGGGAAACCCUGACCCAGCAACGCCGCGUGAAGGAAGAAGGCCUUCGGGUUGUAAACUUCUUUUACCAGGGACGAAGGACGUGACGGUACCUGGAGAAAAAGCAACGGCUAACUACGUGCCAGCAGCCGCGGUAAUACGUAGGUUGCAAGCGUUGUCCGGAUUUACUGGGUGUAAAGGGCGUGUAGGCGGAGAUGCAAGUUGGGAGUGAAAUCCCGGGGCUCAACCCCGGAACUGCUUUCAAAACUGCAUCCCUUGAGUAUCGGAGAGGCAAGCGGAAUUCCUAGUGUAGCGGUGAAAUGCGUAGAUAUUAGGAGGAACACCAGUGGCGAAGGCGGCUUGCUGGACGACAACUGACGCUGAGGCGCGAAAGCGUGGGGAGCAAACAGGAUUAGAUACCCUGGUAGUCCACGCUGUAAACGAUGAAUACUAGGUGUGGGGGGACUGACCCCCUCCGUGCCGCAGUUAACACAAUAAGUAUUCCACCUGGGGAGUACGACCGCAAGGUUGAAACUCAAAGGAAUUGACGGGGGCCCGCACAAGCAGUGGAUUAUGUGGUUUAAUUCGACGCAACGCGAAGAACCUUACCAGGACUUGACAUCCAACUAACGAAGUAGAGAUACAUUAGGUGCCCUUCGGGGAAAGUUGAGACAGGUGGUGCAUGGUUGUCGUCAGCUCGUGUCGUGAGAUGUUGGGUUAAGUCCCGCAACGAGCGCAACCCCUAUUGUUAGUUGCUACGCAAGAGCACUCUAGCGAGACUGCCGUUGACAAAACGGAGGAAGGCGGGGACGACGUCAAAUCAUCAUGCCCCUUAUGUCCUGGGCUACACACGUAAUACAAUGGCCGUCAACAAAGGGAAGCAAUACUGCGAAGUGGAGCAAAUCCCCAAAAACGGUCUCAGUUCGGAUUGCAGGCUGCAACUCGCCUGCAUGAAGCUGGAAUUGCUAGUAAUCGUGGAUCAGCAAGCCACGGUGAAUACGUUCCCGGGCCUUGCACACACCGCCCGUCA